rnacentral:rRNA from 1 species
UACGAAGGGGGCUAGCGUUGCUCGGAAUCACUGGGCGUAAAGCGCACGUAGGCGGAUCUUUAAGUCAGGGGUGAAAUCCUGGAGCUCAACUCCAGAACUGCCUUUGAUACUGGGGAUCUCGAGUCCGGGAGAGGUGAGUGGAACUGCGAGUGUAGAGGUGAAAUGCGCAGAUAUCAGGAGGAACACCGGUGGCGAAAGCGGCUCACUGGGUCUUUUCUGACGCUGAUGCACGAAAGCUAGGGGAGCAAACGGG